UUCAACUGUGUCUGACAGGAGAAUUUAGCUUUCUGAGGUGAGUCUUACAAUUUAUAAUAAAUAAGUGGGUUGAUAAAAUGUAUAAAACAAAGUAAAAACAAAAGUCUAACGUCGCUAAAACCUUUUUUUAUUAUUUUAUUGUUUUUAUUGGCCUUCUAGCCGUUGAGUUACCAUGGCAACCGCGUACACAUCAGCUGUUGGAGAGGAGAGGAGAGGUCUCGUCUGACAUUUUCUCUUGUUUCUCGUCAGUUAUACCAAAGAAAAGGUCAACAACUGCGACAGAUUUUGAUUUCAGGAGUGUCUUAAAAACCCUCUAAAACAGAGGGGAAGUUCCAAGAAAGUGUCUAAUGGGAGCUGCUGACAGAGAUAGAAAACACAGGAGCUGGAGGCCGUGAAGAAACAGAUCCAUGAUAUCGUGGAGAAGCAGGCCCAGAUGAGCAAGUGGAGAGCUAUGCUGGAAAUAUUCAGGGGUUGAUGCUCAUAAGUCCAGGUGUAAGACAUGAACCAGGCCCUGGGCGACGACCUCUCUCCAUCCGCCGCCUCCGGUCUUCAGGAUCUCCACCAGAACCCGAUUCGCUCCACUUCGUGAGACAGAACACAACGCUGUGAUCAUCGGAGACUCCAUCGUCCGGCACGUUCGUGCUAUGUUAGCUGAAGGUAAAGUCCACACUCACUGUUUCCCUGGUGCUCAUGUUCUUUAUAUUUCUGCACAGAUUCCCGUGAUCCUGAAGGGUGAGGGGAGCAUCGGAGUGGACAUGUUUCACGCCGGCGUUAACGACACAAUGCUGCGGCAGACAGAGACGCUGAAGAGGGACUUCAGGAGCCUGAUCAAGAUGGUGCGCAGCACAUCGCCUGCAUGAUGAUCAUCGUGUCAGGACCACUUCCCACGUAUAGAUGAGGACAUGAAAGGUUCAGCAGACUUUUUGCUUUAAACGAAUGGUUAUUGUCUUGGUGUAAAGAACAGAAACUGCUUUUUGUUAAUAAUUGGAAUCUUUUCUGGGAGCGUCCUAGGCUUUUUAGAUCUCCUGUUGGACAACAUCUCCAGGACACUUCGCUCCAUGUGACUAGGCAGUUUGUGAAAAGAGAUAAUCAAGAGAAGUCAGUUCCAGAUCCACCCUCCACACCAGACCUCUCUCUCACGAGGAUUGCUGUCUACUAGCAUAUUGUGUUCUUUUCAGACUUCGGGGAAUGCAGAUAUUACUCGGGGACACGAACACAUGAAUAUUGCAAGAAUAGAGAAAGUAAGAUAUAUUAUAUAUAUAUUUAGAUAUAUUUUUGUGGCAGUGUGAACUGGCCAUAAUGCUGUAUGAUAGGUGUGAGAUUCAUUAAACUUGAUUUGGUAUAAUACAUCUGUUCAUAAGCUAUUGCAUAUUAUUUUCAUGAAUUAUUUGUAGUGGUUUGGUUAAGGGUGUGAUUAGCUGAUGUAUUAUUGUGGGAGCUUGUGAUUAGUUGAUAAAUGUGUUUAUUGUUAAUGACAAUAUUUAAAUGCAAUGUGCUGAGUGCUUACUAAGACUUGCAUGUUUGUGCAUAAUGUUUUGACCCCGGAUGCUUACAGAAGGGUAUAGAUAUUUAAAUAUAUGGAAAUGUAUUUAUUAUUAAUAUAUCUCAAUCUAUGUGCUUCUGUUUGGGCUGAAUGCUUUCAUUCAUAUGUCGCUGUAUAUCCUGUUUUUAUUAAUAAUCUGGGUGUAUUACUGUUCAUAUUUGCUUGUUAAUAAAUUAACUGAAUUCA